GGCGCCAUGGCUUAGUUGCAAAGCGCCUGUCUAGUAAACAGGAGAUCCCCGGUUCAAUCCGGGGUGGUGCCU
rnacentral:tRNA from 1 species